AACGAACGCUGGCGGCGUGCUUAACACAUGCAAGUCGAACGGUAAGGCCCUUCGGGUACACGAGUGGCGAACGGGUGAGUAACACGUGAACAACCUGCCCUUGACUCUGGGAUAACAGUUGGAAACAGCUGCUAAUACCGGAUACGAGCCUGCAAGACAUCUUGCGGGCUUGAAAGCUCCGGCGGUCAAGGAUGGAUUCGCGGCCUAUCAGCUUGUUGGUGAGGUAACGGCUCACCAAGGCUUCGACGGGUAGCCGGCCUGAGAGGGCGACCGGCCACACUGGGACUGAGAUACGGCCCAGACUCCUACGGGAGGCAGCAGUGGGGAAUUUUGGACAAUGGGGGCAACCCUGAUCCAGCCAUGCCGCGUGCGGGAGGAGGCC
rnacentral:rRNA from 1 species